rnacentral:rRNA from 1 species
GAUGAACGCUAGCUACAGGCUUAACACAUGCAAGUCGAGGGGAAACGACAUCGAAAGCUUGCUUCCGAUAGGCGUCGACCGGCGCACGGGUGAGUAACGCGUAUCCAACCUGCCCACCACUUGGGGAUAACCUUGCGAAAGUAAGACUAAUACCCAAUGAUAUCUCUAGACGGCAUCUGAAAGGGAUUAAAGAUUUAUCGGUGAUGGAUGGGGAUGCGUCUGAUUAGCUUGUUGGCGGGGUAACGGCCCACCAAGGCAACGAUCAGUAGGGGUUCUGAGAGGAAGGUCCCCCACAUUGGAACUGAGACACGGUCCAAACUCCUACGGGAGGCAGCAGUGAGGAAUAUUGGUCAAUGGGCGAGAGCCUGAACCAGCCAAGUAGCGUGCAGGACGACGGCCCUAUGGGUUGUAAACUGCUUUUAUAAGGGAAUAAAGUGAGUCUCGUGAGACUUUUUGCAUGUACCUUAUGAAUAAGGACCGGCUAAUUCCGUG